CACGCCGUAAACGUUGGGCGCUAGGUGUGGGGCUCUUUCCACGAGUUCCGUGCCGCAGCAAACGCAUUAAGCGCCCCGCCUGGGGNAUGCAACGCGAAGAACCUUACCAAGGCUUGACAUGGGCAGUAAUCCGGCAGAGAUGUCGGGUCCGUAAGGGCUGUUCACAGGUGG
rnacentral:rRNA from 1 species